GAGAGACUACUUAUAUGACCUUGCCAUCUUCUAUUCUUGCUUUCUCGACUAUGAUUGUGAUUCCUGAGCGAAUAUAAAAUCCAUCUUCUGGUCUAUCUGCUUCUUGAACUCCCUACAAACAAUCAACCUUCGAAUUGGUAAAGAUCAUAGAGCUAGAAAUCUAACUGAUGGAGUUGACUCAAAAAGCAAGAGGCUGAGAUCAGAUGUCAAUAGGAGGACGAAACAACAAUGGUGUCCUGUAAAAGGUGAUUUUAGAUGGGAUGAAUCUUCCAACGGACAGUGCUGUGAAGAGUCAAAAAGUUGUGGCAGUUUACCAGAAGCUCAACACCAUAAUCCAGGCGCGAACGUUCACCAACAAUGGAAUGUUGAACUGUACAUUCUCUCAGGAAACAUCCAUGGGAGAUAAUUGCAUCCAAUAUCUACAAGACAACCAAACAUGAGAAGACAUCUCAUGAACUUAGAAACAUGCUUUAAGGUACAUUGUCAUACCUGGCAAUUAUCAAUCUUUGUUGGUGGCAGGAAUCGAGGGGAUGUGAAAAUGGGCGUCUUCGGAUCAUAAAAUUUGAACUUUGGAUUCUGCAUGAGUAUAGGACAAAGAAGAUAACAGCCUUGCAGAAUUUGCAAAAGAAGCGAUGCCAAUGUAUCUUAAUUGUAGUUUGCAAGAAAAACAUGAAUGCAUGUACUCAUAAUAGGAAGGGUGCAAAAUUGAAUGCCAACCAUGAUUAUCCUGAACGCACCUCUUCAGUAAGAGCUAGAUUAGCAUCAUAAAAUGACUUUAUCGUUCCAAUGUCUUCCCAGUAGUCUCUGAAGAAA